GCCUUCGUGGUGUAACGGUAGCACACUCGGUGCAUAUUCGAGAGAUCCAGGGUUCGAGUCCCGGAGAGAGCA
rnacentral:tRNA from 1 species